AACGAACGCUGGCGGCAUGCCUAACACAUGCAAGUCGAACGAGCCCUUCGGGUCUAGUGGCGCACGGGUGCGUAACGCGUGGGAACCUGCCCUUAGGUUCGGACUAACUCCCCGAAAGGGGUGCUAAUACCGGAUCAUGUCUUCGGACCAAAGAUUUAUCGCCUUUGGAUGGGCCCGCGUUGGAUUAGCUAGUUGGUAGGGUAAAAGCCUACCAAGGCGACGAUCCAUAGCUGGUCUGAGAGGAUGAUCAGCCACACUGGGACUGAGACACGGCCCAGACUCCUACGGGAGGCAGCAGUAGGGAAUAGUGGACAAUGGGCGAAAGCCUGAUCCAGCAAUGCCGCGUAAGUGAUGAAGGCCUUAGGGUUGUAAAGCUCUUUUACCCGGGAUGAUAAUGACAGUACCGUGAGAAUAAGCUCCGGCUAACUCCGUG
rnacentral:rRNA from 1 species